rnacentral:rRNA from 1 species
ACGGAAGGCAGCAGUGGGGAAUAUUGCACAAUGGGGGAAACCCUGAUGCAGCGACGCCGCGUGAGUGAUGAAGUAUUUCGGUAUGUAAAGCUCUAUCAGCAGGGAAGAAAAUGACGGUACCUGACUAAGAAGCACCGGCUAAAUACGUGCCAGCAGCCGCGGUAAUACGUAUGGUGCAAGCGUUAUCCGGAUUUACUGGGUGUAAAGGGAGCGUAGGCGGCGUGGCAAGUCAGAAGUGAAAACCCAGGGCUCAACCUUGGGACUGCUUUUGAAACUGUCAUGCUAGAGUGUCGGAGAGGUAAGCGGAAUUCCUAGUGUAGCGGUGAAAUGCGUAGAUAUUAGGAGGAACACCAGUGGCGAAGGCGGCUUACUGGACGAUAACUGACGCUGAGGCUCGAAAGCGUGGGGAGCAAACAGGAUUAGAUACCCUGGUA